AUAAUAUAAUGAUGAGUUGACACUUACUAUUUUAAAAAGUUUCUGUCAAAUUUUGAUAGGAGCUUUCAAUAUUUUGGUGUUUACAAAUUUUCAGUUUUAUAAAUAUUUUACACUUCCGAUCGAAUUUCUAAUCUAAUAACACACUUCCUAACUUUUUUGCAUGGCUGACGCACAAUCUGUUCAGGCCAAGAAAGGAACCAUGAAUAUUUUACACAAAUUUAUAAAUAUGAUGGUGUAACUAUUGAUCACAAAUUUGUAUUCUAAAAAUAAAUACCUAUAUCGAAGUGAAUUCCUGAUAUAAAACCCUUUCCAAAACAUAUUACAAAUCAACUUAUAACUCGAAAAUCAUAAGCAACUCUUAAAUCAGACAAACUCGCUGAAUUGCGAGACAUGUUGGCAAAGAAGAGCCCAAUGAAAUACAUGAAUAUAUGUUUAUAUCCAAUUGAAUAUUACCUGGAGACAUCUUUUUCUAUUUUGAUGACAUCAUCCUAACUCAAUGCUACUAUUAUUAGAAUAUUAUCAAAUGGUGUAUUAUUUACAUUUUAUCAGUUUGAAAAUACCUAACAAACAAAAAAGCUAAGAAGAAUAAUAGAAUUCAUGAACAUAAUAAGGAAAAGUUAAAUUAUAAUAAAUACUAGUGAUGUAGCAUUCUUAUUUAUUGUGAAAUAAAGAUCCCAGCAGAAGUA